UUCACGGAAGGACGUCAAAAUGGUGAAAUGUGCUUUUAGAAGUUGUGGAAACAUACAGAAGAAAUGGACAAAGGAAAGUUUCCACCGCCUGACUAUGAAGAACGAGGAACGAUAUAAAAUGUGGUUACUCUGCUGGAUAUGACAUACACACACACCGGUGGAAAAGUACUGCUCUGGAGUAUUUGCAGCGCCCAUUUUCAUCGGUAUCCUCUCCUGUUACCCAAUUGCUGUGCCUUCGAGUGUCCAAACGUCUUCAAGAGCUUCCGAUAAACAGGUGACCUGGAGAUGCUUUAUGUACACCCAGAAGAGGCUCCACUUUGUUUUCAACUCCAUGAAGGCAAGGGCGCCAGCAAGCGAGGAAUGCUGAUGGGACUUCGAGAUACAGCUUGGAGUUUCCAACGCAAACAAAAAGAUGGGUUGCCCGGAGGAGUUACGAGCCAACAGCGAAGACAUUCUGAC